AUAAGAAGCUUUACCUCACAAAAGUUCUCUCUAGGAAGAUCCCCCUGAACCCUUGAAGCGACUGCCGUCUGCUGCUUAACAGUUUACUUGAAGCAUCCUGUUCCUACUCUCCGUUGGUGCCUCUCUUUAGAAUCUGCUGCUGUUGAACCACCCUCUGUUUUGUGCAUGGGAUCCUGUUGAUCGCCCCCUGCUACCAUGUUCGUCUACAUGUGCUUUUAAAGGCAUCAGAUCGAUUCCUACACGAAUUCGGA
rnacentral:lncRNA from 1 species